rnacentral:rRNA from 1 species
GUCGAACGGGAUCCAGACUUCGGUCUGGUGAGAGUGGCGGACGGGUGAGUAACGCGUGGGAACCUGCCCAAUGGUCUGGGAUAACCGCGGGAAACUGCGGCUAAUACCGGAUAAGCCCGAGAGGGGAAAGAUUUAUCGCCGAUGGAGGGGCCCGCGUCCGAUUAGGUAGUUGGUGGGGUAAUGGCCUACCAAGUCUACGAUCGGUAGCUGGUCUGAGAGGAUGAUCAGCCACACUGGGACUGAGAUACGGCCCAGACUCCUACGGGAGGCAGCAGUGGGGAAUAUUGGACAAUGGGGGCAACCCUGAUCCAGCAAUGCCGCGUGAGUGAUGAAGGCCUUAGGGUUGUAAAGCUCUUUUACCGGGGACGAUGAUGACGGUACCCGGAGAAUAAGCCCCGGCUAACUUCGUGCCAGCAGCCGCG